CCAAUAGCGUAUAUUAAAGUUGUUGCAGUUAAAAAGCUCGUAGUUGAACUUCGGGGUUUACCCAUUGGUCAGGCUUAAUUGUCUGUACUGGUGAGAUGAAUCUCUACCUUCUGAGGAACUUUCAUGCCAUUUAGUUGGUGUGAUAGGAAAUCAGGACUGUUACUUUGAAAAAAUUAGAGUGUUUAAAGCAGGCUAACGUCUGAAUACAUUAGCAUGGAAUAAUGAAAUAGGACGGAUUGGUUCUAUUUCGUUGGUUUCUAGGAUCACCGUAAUGAUUAAUAGGGAUAGUUGGGGGCAUUAGUAUUCAAUUGUCAGAGGUGAAAUUCUUGGAUUUAUUGAGGACUAACUAUUGCGAAAGCAUUUGCCAAGGAUGUUUUCAUUAAUCAAGAACGAAAGUUAGGGGAUCGAAGACGAUCAGAUACCGUCGUAGUCUUAACCAUAAACUAUGCCGACUAGGGAUCGGACGAAGUUAAUUUUAUAAUGACGCGUUCGGCACCUUACG
rnacentral:rRNA from 1 species